AUUCCAGUUUGGGGCGUAUCAUGUGUGUUUGGGGUGUAUCAUGAAGGUCUCCUUUUACUUCUUCCCAUCUCCAUUACAUGGCACUUCUUUAUAUUAAAUUUUAAUUUCCAUCGUUUACUUCAUUCAUAAAUUCUAUCAAUAUCCCUCUGUAGUUCCUCACAAUCCUCUUGGUUCUUUAUUACUUUCAUCAAUUUUGCAUCAUCUGCAAACAUGUUAAUGUAGCUAUUUAAACCCACCGUCAUAUCAUUUAUAUAGACCUGAAACUUUAUAGGUGCCAACACAGACUCUUGUGGUACUCCGCUUGUUACUUCGCACCAACUUGAUUUAUUAUCUCUGAUUACUGUACUCAUUUCCCUACCUUGGAGAUAAUCCUUCAUCCACUUAAGUAUUUUUCCUUUUAGCCCUCCUCGAUGUUCCAGUUUCCAUAUGAGACUUUUAUGUGGAACUGUAUCAAAAGCUUUUUUCACAUCUAAAUAGACUGCAUCAACCCAACCAUCUCUCUCUUGUAGUUUAUCUAUUACUCUUGUAUAAAAGCUCAGUAAGUUUGUUUCGCAAGAUCUCUCUUUCCUGAAACCAAAUUGUUUUUCUGUUAUUAUAUAUUCUUGUUCAAGAUAUUGCACCCAUCUGUUUUUAAUGACUAUUUCAUAGAGUUUACUUACAAUACUCGUGAGUGAGACUGGUCUGUAAUUCAGUGGUUCCAUUUUAUUACCUCCUUUGUAUAAUGGUACUGUAUUUGCUCUCUUCCAUUCCUUUGGUACUUUUCCCUCCUUCAAAGAACUGUUAAUUAUCUCCCAUAUUGGUUCUUCCAAUUCCUCUCUACAUUCUUUCAAUAUCAAUCCAUUUACUUCGUCUGGUCCCAUCAUCUUCCUAGUAUCUAGCUCUUCCAGUAGUCUUUUAAUUUCUUUUCUUUCCACUUGUAUGUUUUCUAUUCCUUUCUGUUGUUCCUCAUCUCCCAGUGAUGCAAAGACAGUUUCUCUUGUAAAUACAGACUUAAAGCUUUUAUUCAUUAUCUCAGCCAUCUCUUGUGUGGUUUCAUAAAUUUCUCCAUUUUUCUUCAGCUUUGUAAUGGUAUCUCUAUCCUUUAUUUUUCCAUUUACAUAUCUAUAGAAAAGUUUGGGUUCUUUACACUUUCCAACUACAUCUCUUUAAAAAUUUCUUUCUUGUUCUCUUCUUAUUUUAACAUAAUCAUUUCUAUCUGUCCUGUAUUCUUCUCUAUUUAUCUCAUUCCAUUGUUUCCUCAUUUUUUUCCAUGCCCUCUCCUUUUUUUUUGCCUCUGCACACUUUGCAUUAAACCACACUUUCUUAUUUUCUUUUACCUUAUAUCUUGGCACAUAUCUUUCAACACCUUCUCUAAACUUGCUUAAAAACACUUCAUAUUUUUUCUGCACCUCCAUACCUCUUAAUAAAUUACUCCAAUCAAGCUCUCCGUAGAAUUUCUUUAACCCUGUAAAGUCUGCCUUAGCAUAAUUUUUUCUCUCAUUUUUAUAUUCCUCAUUGAAUUUUGGCACUUCUUCUUUGAUCUCUAUCUCCAUCUUCACAUGAUUACUUUUUCCCACUGGACACAAAUAUUCUAUGCUUGGUUCAUUUUCUGGCUUUUUUGUAAAAACCAAGUCUAGUAGUGAUGGUUCAUCUUCCCCUCUGUACCUAGUAUUUUCUUUCACCCAUUGAUCCAACGUGUUUACCAUUUGUGUGUGUGUGUGUGUGUGUGUGUGUGUGUGUGUGUGUGUGUGUGUGUGUGUGUGUGUGUGACUGGGUAGUUGUGACAUGCAGGAAAGGAGCUAUGCUCAUACUGUCCUGCCUCUGUAUCUACUAUCAUUUAACUUGGCCUUGAAAUUAUGAAUAGUUUUUGCUUGCCCCACAUCCUUAUUUAGAGAGUUCCAUGUAUCAACUACCCUUUGUGGAAAACUAUUCUUUUUAAUAUCUGCUAGAAAUUUUCUUUUUUUAGCUUCUUUCCGUGUCCUCUUAUAUCUCACAUUGCAACGUUGCUGUCUAGCUUUUCCAGUCCUUCCAUUAGUCUAUGUAUCACAAUUAACUCUCCUCUCUCCCUUCUUUGUUCCAGAGUUGAAAGGUUUAGUUUUUAUAGGUUCAUUUUGUAUGUCUCUUCACUUAAGUUUGGGAUCAUCUUUGUUGCUGCUCUUUGUAUCCUCUCCAGUUUCCUGAUGUGUUUCUUGAGACUUGGUGACCAUACUACAGCUGUAUAUUCCAAUUUUGGAUGAAUCAUCAUUACAAUUAGAUUCCUCAUCAAUUCUUCAUCUAAGUAUGCAAAUGCAAUUCUUAUAUUCCUUAGCAAAUUCACUGUUUCCCCAACAAUCUUGUUUAUACGGUAAACAGCUGUUAAUGUGUCUGCUACUAUCACUCCAAGAUCCAUUUCCUCUAUUCUCUUCCAAUAUAGUCAUCUCCCAAAUUUUAAUCACCAGAUGGUCUUUUUUACUCCUCCCAAACUCCAGUAAGCUACAUUUCUUUGCACUAAAAUUCAUUUCCCAUUUACAGCUCCAUUUUUUAAUCUGGUUCAUAUCUUGUAAAGCUUUCUGAUCUUCCUCUGUUUCUACUUUUUUUCAUCAAUUUAGCAUCCUCCGCAAAUAAACUCAUAUAGCUGUUGAUCCCUUCCAUCAUAUCAUUAGUGUACACAGUGAACAUGACUGGAGCCAGUACAGAACCUUGAGGUACUCCAAUAGCUACUUUUCUCCAAGAUGACUUUUGAUCUCUAAUAACUGUUCUCAUUUUUCUAAUGCUUAGAAAGUCUUCCAUCCACUUCAAGGGUUCCCUCUCACUCCACCAACGUUCUUUAUCUUCCACACGAGUCUCUUAUGUGGCACCAUGUCGAAGGCCUUUUUCAAAUCCAAGGAGAUACCAUCUACCCAUCCAACUCACUCUUGUACUAUGUCAAUUAUUCUUGAGUAAAAACAAAUCAGAUUAGUUGUACAUGAUCUCCCUCUACAAAAUCCGAAUUGUUUAUGAGUUAUCAUGCCAGUUUCUUCCAAAAAUUUUGUCCAUUUAUCUUUCACAAUUCAUUCACAUAUUUUUCCCAUGACUGAUGUUAAUGAUACUGGUCUAUAGUUCAGAGGGUUUUUUUUACACCCCAAUUUAAAUAUUGGUACAAUAUCAGCCUUUUUCCAGUCACUUGAUACCUUGCUCUCUUGUAAUGAAUGCUCUACAAUAUGAUGUAUUUUGUCUGCCAACUGACUAUUGCAUUCCUUUAAAACCCAGUUUGAUAUACCAUCUGGUCCCUGUGCUUUAUCUACUUCUAACUUCUGCAUCAUUUCCUGUAUUUCAUCGGUAGCUACAUUAAUUUCUCCAAGAGAGUUAACUGCUGCUCCUUCACUUUCUUGUAUUAUAAACUUGCUUUCUUUGUUGAAGACUGACUGAAAGGCAUCACUCAACACCACCAUAUCCUCAACCUCUUCAUAUUUUUUGCCAUCUAAAUUUAUUUUUUUAAUUAUUUCCUUUCAUAGUAUUUUAUUGUUAUGUCUGUAGAACAGUUUUGGUUGAUCUUUGCAUUUAUCUAUUAUAUCUUUCUUGUAUUUUCUACACUCUUCUCUUUGUAUCUUAACAUAUUCAUUUCUCUUUGUCUUAUACUCUGCCCACAAAUUUUAUCUUCUUCCUCUCUUCCAUUUUUUUUUUCAAACAGUACCUCUUUUUUUUAUAUUUCACAUCUACUAAACCAAUCAUUACAUCCAACUUUUCUUCUUCUUUCUUUUGGUAUAUAUCUUUGCACCCCUUCAUUAUAUAUUUCAACAAAUUCUUUCCAUUUCCUUUCCACUCCCCUGACUUCUUUAAAUUUAGUCCAGUCAUUUUCCUCAACGUAUUUCUUAAUUUGAUCAAAUUUUCCUUACUUGUAACUGAAUCUUCCAAUCCUAUGGUUUCUUUUUAAUUCUUCUUUAAAUUAUUUUAAGUUUAGUUCUAUUACCAUGUGGUCUCUUUUUCCUAUUAUACAUGUGUAUUCCAUAUUAUCAACAAUUUCUGGUUCUUUUGUAAAUACUAAAUCUAGUCUUGAUGGUUCUUUACCCUUUCUACAUCUUGCUCUAGGUACAAAUUUCUCCACAGCAGAAUUACAUAUCCUUAUAAAUUCAUCACAUUUUUCCCAAACAUCUUCUGCAUCUUCAAAGUCUUUCCAGUCCACAGUAACAAGGUAUUUUCUUAAUUUUUCAGUCAGCUUAACUAUACGAGUAUUUAAAUUUUUUCACCUUAUAAUUUUCAUCAAUGAUUACAUUUUCAUUUUUCAAAUUAAAUUCCAUCAACACAUGAUCACUUUUACCUAGAGGGCUAUCAUAGUGUAUAGUUUCAAUAAUUUUCAUGUCUGGUAAACACUGAAUCAAGUCUUGAUGGUUUAUCUCUUCCACUAAAUCUGGUAUCACAAUCAACCCAUUGAGUCAUCAAGUUUUCCACUGCCCAGUUUAAUAGUCUAUUACUACAUAAGUUCUCACUUCCAGUAGUUGUUAUUGUCUCCCAAUUUAUCUCCUUACAAUUAAAAUCACCAACAAUAACUAUAUCACUACUUUCCAUCACUAUCUCUUCAAGACCUUUUAACACAUCUACCAACAUCUCUUCUUGCUCUUCUUUUUGUCAAGUAUUGGUCACAGGUGGCACAUACACUCCUACAUAAUUCAUUAUCUUUCCAUUUCCACUUCUAAUCAUCACUUGUAGAAUUUCGGACUUGUCUUCGCUUUUUAUUACCUUCUCCACUUUAACAUAUUUUUUAGUUAGAAUGAUCACUCUACCUCCUCCCUUGUCACUUUUAUUUUUCAUCCAUAAAUCAUCAUCACCAAUGUCAGGAGUUCCCAUUAAUUUUUCCAUUUUGUCUCACAUAAUACAAUAACAUUCGGUGCAGUUCUGCUUAAGAACUCAUUUAAUUCCAUUUUAGUUUCCAUUAAUCCAUUUACAUUAGUAUAACAUACCUUACUUACUGUUUGAUGUACCAUUUCUUUUACUUUCAUAUCUCUUACUCUCCAGAAAACUUCUUUUUCUCCUCCCCCAUUCGUUGUUUGUUUGUUUGUUUUUUUAGCCUCAUUUACCAGCUCCUUUUGCUUCAACCUUCCAGUCUCAUCCAUAUCCUUGUUUAUCCAUACAUUCCUAUAUUCUUCAUCUCCAGACAGCUCCAAGACCCAUUGAUUACUUCUGCUUAUACCUGUGUUGCAAACCUUAUUCUUAUGGGUCUCAUUUUUCUUCUUCAUAUUUCCCAAUUCUAUGGAACUCUUCCACUUACUUUAAUACCAGACUGUCUUCAUCCGUCACUUUCUUCAGCAACUUACUUAACAGGUUCUUUUCCUUUUCCUCUCUUUGAAUUCCACCUACCAUUUUCUCUUCCCUUAAAUCAAAUACAAUUACUUGUUUAUAUUUUUCUGUAGUGUCUCUCACUAACUUUUUCUCUUCUUUAAUAACAUUUACCAUUUUCUGUCUGAGGUUUUGUUUCUCAUUUUCUUGUUGUUCUAUUAUUUUCUUUAGUGAUUCUUCUUCAAAUUUGCUUUCAUUUAACCACUUAUUUUGCCUCAUUUCCACAUCCUUUACACUUGCCUUCAUUUCCUCAUUUCCUUUCUGAACAAUUUAUACUUUUCCUUUAUUUGUUCUUUUAAACAGUCAUUUUCCACCUUUAACUUGUCAUUUUUAUCUUCCGUCUCUGUCAACUUUGCUGUAAUAAUUAACAAAGUACACGAGACUUACCGUAGGUCAGUUGAAGUGUACUUCUAAUUUUUCGAGGCAAAUCACCUCUGCUGGUGCGGACAUUUCCCAUGAGAGAGUGCGUCACGCGCUGCUGGCAGUUCUUUGCUGAUCGCCGCGUCGGGCAGACACGGUCAUUCUGGGUCAUACGGACUUCCAAGUUUUUGCUGUUUUCUUUCAGAUAAGGCCACGAUACUUGUUACGCAGUGCGGCAGCCAUGUCGGAGUCUGGUGAAGCGUCCUCUGCCUCUCGAUCCCCUUCCCCUCCUGCCCCACGUGCCUUCUGUGGGCCUUCUCCUCUCCCUGGGUCCACUGUUCGCCCUCAAGAUGACGACGACAGGCACAGGGAUCAUUCAUCUCGUCGCUUGAGUGGGAGGCAUGGUUGCGUGAGAUUACGUAACAGUGCUGACGCACGUGGUUCCCGCGGCACUUCUCCUGCUCCUCUCCCUUGGUCAGUUGUGUUGGACGCCUUGACUGAUUUGCGGGGUGAAGUGGAGGCCUUGAAGGCAGACAGACGGCAACUACCACCCCCUACUGGGUCGGCGCAGGUGACUGUGGAGGACAGUACUCUGGGGGGCAGGGGUUUGUCGCCUCCUUGUUCUGCCACUUUUUCUGGUUUCUCGGCCAGGAUGUGUGCCUCCACUGUCUUUAUUCUCUCCAAUAACUUGU